ACUCCACAUACGCAUCCUUUGCUGAGGAUACGGUUAACGGAGCGAAAGCGACGUUCAACCGCAAAAGAAGCAGAGGGGGCUUAGUGGUGGGGUGACUGCGUACCUUUUGUAUAAUGGGUCAGCGACUUAUAUUCUGUAGCAAGGUUAACCGAAUAGGGGAGCCGGAGGGAAACCGAGUCUUAAUUGGGCGUUAAGUUGCAGGGUAUAGACCCGAAACCCGGUGAUCUAGCCAUGGGCAGGUUGAAGGUUGGGUAACACUAACUGGAGGACCGAACCGACUAAUGUUGAAAAAUUAGCGGAUGACCUGUGGCUGGGGGUGAAAGGCCAAUCAAACCGGGAGAUAGCUGGUUCUCCCCGAAAGCUAUUUAGGUAGCGCCUCGUGAAUUCAUCUCCGGGGGUAGAGCACUGUUUCGGCUAGGGGGCCAUCCCGGCUUACCAACCCGAUGCAAACUGCGAAUACCGGAGAAUGUUAUCACGGGAGACACACGGCGGGUGCUAACGUCCGUCGUGAAGAGGGAAACAACCCAGACCGCCAGCUAAGGUCCCAAAGUCAUGGUUAAGUGGGAAACGAUGUGGGAAGGCCCAGACAGCCAGGAUGUUGGCUUAGAAGCAGCCAUCAUUUAAAGAAAGCGUAAUAGCUCACUGGUCGAGUCGGCCUGCGCGGAAGAUGUAACGGGGCUAAACCAUGCACCGAAGCUGCGGCAGCGACGCUGAUGCGUUGUUGGGUAGGGGAGCGUUCUGUAAGCCUGUGAAGGUGGCCUGUGAGGGUUGCUGGAGGUAUCAGAAGUGCGAAUGCUGACAUAAGUAACGAUAAAGCGGGUGAAAAGCCCGCUCGCCGGAAGACCAAGGGUUCCUGUCCAACGUUAAUCGGGGCAGGGUGAGUCGACCCCUAAGGCGAGGCCGAAAGGCGUAGUCGAUGGGAAACGGGUUAAUAUUCCCGUACUUGGUGUUACUGCGAAGGGGGGACGGAGAAGGCUAUGUUGGCCGGGCGACGGUU
rnacentral:rRNA from 1 species